GACGAACGCUGGCGGCGUGCUUAACACAUGCAAGUCGAACGCUGAAGACCUGGCUUUUGUUGGGUUGGAUGAGUGGCGAACGGGUGAGUAACACGUGAGUAACCUGCCCUCUUCUUUGGGAUAAUGCCCGGAAACGGGUGCUAAUACUGGAUAUUCACUGAUCUUCGCAUGGGGGUUGGUGGAAAGGUUUGUUCUGGUGGGGGAUGGGCUCGCGGCCUAUCAGCUUGUUGGUGGGGUGAUGGCCUACCAAUGCUUUGACGGGUAGCCGGCCUGAGAGGGUGACCGGUCACAUUGAGACUGAGAUACGGCCCAGACUCCUACGGGAGGCAGCAGUGGGGAAUAGUGCACGAUGGGCGAAAGCCUGAUGCAGCGACGCCGCGUGAGGGAGGGAGGCCUUCGGGUUGGAAACCUCUUUCGCUCAUGGUCAAGCCGCAACUGUGGGUUGUGGUGAGGGUAGUGGGUAAAGAAGCGCCGGCUAACUACGUG
rnacentral:rRNA from 1 species